AACAUAGAUUAAUAUUAGGAAGAAAGAUAUCCAGCCAUUUGACAUUGUAGUAGUUUAUCCAGAAUUUAGCUGCAAAAUUCUAUGCAGCAUCACAGAGCAGAGUAUAGAAAGGUGAAGGUUGGAAGCUGAGAGAUUAAUAACUUAAAACUUGUCACAAUAGGGAUAAUAUGAUGUGUUUAGAAAUAAAGAAUAGAUAACUUAUGACAUGUAAUAUAUAAUAUACAUAAUGGCAGACACUCAGUGUGUGAAAAUCGUGCUACUGAUAAUAAUGAUGAUGAUGUUGGUGGUAAUAAACUGAACAUCCUGAUUCUUUGCCUGGAGAUUAUUAUAACCUUUAAAAAUAUUCAACCCUGACAUUAGAUGGUUCCCUCCUUCAGCACCAGCAUUAAUUUUCUUGAACUUUUUAUACGUUAUCUUGCUGUAAGUAACCAUCUGUGUUCUAACAUAUUUAAAUAAGAAAACUAGGGAGAAUUAAGAAUAUAUAAAACAUAUAAAUAAUAAAAUACUACCUAAUAAAGUCAGAGAGAGUUUGUGUCUUGCAGUUCUUUCGGCUGAAAUCCAUUUGUUAUUAUCCAUAAUAUAACUAGUCACAUUGUGUGGUGAUAAGUUGUAGUAUAGGAGCAUUCUAUAAUCUGCCAGUGAAGUCUAUUAAAUCUCAGUCUUAUAGUGGAUAUGUGUGCCAGGGCUGUGACAUUCACAAAUGUAUCUUUAUUCAUGUAGAUUUCUUCCCUCUGCCUGCUUCUUCUUCUGACUAAAGCAUUCUCAAUCUAUAUCCUUGCAGUCCCACACUUGUUGAUCAUUGCCAACCCCACCAGAUGAGACAGAAAAUUUGAAGGUGACUGGAACGGAGAAGAAUGUCCUUCCUCAGUUAUGACAGUGGACAAAACAUCCAGACAGAAAAUCAAUAUGGAAACAUGGAAUUUAAUCUACAUUCUAGAGCAAAAGGAACUAACAGACCUGUACAGAACAUCGCAUAUACCACAUGCAGAAUACACACUCUACUCAAAAAUCAAUAGAGGCUCAUAGACCGAGGACUGCCUUGUCUCAGAUGGGACUUUGGACCUGGACUUUUGGGUUAAUGCUGCAAUGAGGUAAGACUUUGGGGGACUCUUGGAAGGCAUGAUUGGCUUUGAAAUGUGAGGGCAUGAGAUUUGGGAGGGGCCAGAGGUAGAGUGAAAUGGUUUGGCUCUGUGUCCCCACCGAAAUUUCACCUUGAAUUGUAAUAAUCCCCACGUGUUGUGGGAGGGACUCAGUGGGAUGUAAUUGAAUCAUGGGGGUGGGUUUCUUUGUGCUGUUCUCAUGAUAGUGAAUAAGUCUAAAAAGGAGAGUUCCCCUGCAUAUGCUUUCUUGCCUGCUGUCAUGUAAGUCAUCACUUUGGUCUUCCUUGAUCUUCAGCCAUGAUUGUGAGGCCUCCCCAGUCGUGUAGAACUGUGAGUCCAUUAAACCUGUUUCCUUUAUAAAUUACCAGUCUCACAUAUGUCUUUAUUAGCAGUAUGAGAAAGGACUGAUACACUAACAAAUUGUUUGUUAAAGUUAUAAAAAUGACACUUUCACCAAUGAAUAUGAAACUUCCAUUUGUUACAAAUCAAUUCCACAAUUUGUUUUUAUAUCUGUGUGUGCGUGUGUGUGUGUGCACGUGUCCACAGUGUGUUUUUAAUGCCACACAUUAGGUUCCCUGGAAAAUGGACUCUAGGAUGUAGAUUUGUAGUCAGGCACUCAUAAAAUCUUACCUCCUUUAUCUCUAAAGUAGGUUAGAUAGGAGAGGUUUGGGAAUAAAGGGAAGUUGAACAGAUUUUCAAGUACCAUAAAGGCCUCAGCCAAUAUUACAAGGUUACUCUGCAGCUGGGAAGGCACUUCAUAAUACUAUCUGUCUGGGAUGAGGGUGCUGGACCUUUGUAACCUGGAGACUUUGGACAAACUGUAUCUCUUCAGCAAAAAGGAAGCCCCAGAUAUGGAUUCAUCUAUGAGAUCUUCAUCAAGCACAGUGUAGGAGAAGCAUCACGAUGGCACAUCAUAACAAUCAUAUUCCACAUCUUUAUUCCUAAAAUUGUUUCUCAAUUCAAGUGAUUUCAUAGAAAAAGUUCUAGGAUUAUCCUCCAAGAUUCUAUUUGCCACUUUUCUUAGAAAAACCUUGCAAAAGAAAUGUAAAAUGAACUAAAGUUUAUGCCAUUCCAACUGCGUUCAAGGCUAUAAAUGAUACUCCUAGUCUACCUCCUCUCUCACUCAUUCUAGAUUACAUUGACUUCUGGUGGCAGUCCCGAGUAUCUAUGUUGUUAUCUGUAGGUUGAUGAAGAUUCUCAUUUCUUAGGUAUCUAAUCCCAAAUCAUCAUGCUUUUCUUGGAUCAUAGCUACUGCACUUUUUCAUUUACCUUGACAAUUUGUCAAAGGUUUAUUGAAAGAUUUCUAAGUUAUUAUCUUGGUACCAUACUCUACCCCUUCCCAUUGAGUAACAUCAGCCUGACUUCACUCUAAUGACUGGAGUCAAUUUUCCAAGCUAGGAUUGAGACUCUACUCUUUCCCUGUCCUGGUCCCUUGGCAUCUAGUUGCUGAUUUGACUGGGUGGCAUUAUAACUUGAAAUUUAAACAGAACUUUGUUAUGCAUUAUAAUUGAAACAUUAUCCCUCUAAGAGUCUAGACUUCCAAACUCCAGAGUCUAAAGUUGUAGAUCCAGUAUUCAGUCUCAUGAAUAUGGCCAUAGCUCCUACAUAUAUUUCUAAGGUAGGUCCUGUAGAAGUAUUAUCUUCUUUUUCACAUUUACUAUAA
rnacentral:lncRNA from 1 species